UAUAUACUCCCUCCGUCCAAAAAUACUUGUCCUUGAAAUGGUUGUAUCUAGACUUAUUUUAGUUAUAAAUACAUUCAUCCUAUCCAUUUUGAGGACAAGUAUUUCCGAAUGGAGGGAGUAGUUG
rfam:Triticum aestivum genome assembly, contig: Triticum_aestivum_CS42_TGACv1_scaffold_224834_3B